CAAGGCGAGAGAGCCGAGCGCGCCUGCGCGGACUCUCGACGCCGGGAAGAGCUGGGCGUAAACUUGAGCUGGAAACUUGAUAAUGCUGUUAUGGCUGUACCCACUGCUGCUAGCAGCAAUCAACAUGGAUUAGUAUCCAGACCACGUAGAGGCCAUGGGGGUGAACCAGGUGACAGAUCUGAUGUCCUGCCUUUUAAGCCAUAUGCUGAAAAAGCAUUUGAAAACUUCAAAAUGGGUUCCUACUAAAGUAAUCUUCAAAAGAAGAACAAAGGCCUAUGUUCAUAACAUCUCAAUUCUUGUUUAGUGUAUCGUACUGGAAUCAUGCAGAGAUAAUGGGAGGCUGUUCUCAUUUCUAGAAGAAGACAAAGAUGCCUAUCAUCGGGGUGGCACUUCCCAUGAUUCUGGAGGCACUUGUGGUGUACUUGUUUACUCUCUGGAGACAAGGUCUUGCUGUGUACUUCCGGCUGGCCUGGAACAUGCCGUAUAGUCCAGGCUGGCCUCAAACUCCUGUCAACCCACUUUCUUCUUCUGGUCUUACAGGCGUGCACCGCCACGCUUGCUGGCCAAGAAGAAAUCUAUUGGGCUUGUAAGAAUGUGAUUAGAUGGUACAUCUAGA